rnacentral:lncRNA from 1 species
AUGAACCCAACUUGGAAUACUUGCCUGAUGAAUUUGGAUAGUGGGCAGGCACUCUUCACAUUCCUUUGGAACAUGAAUAAACUGUUGAAAGCUUUUCUGGUCUUUUUCAUCACAAGGCUCCAUCCAAAGGAAGUACAAAUAAUUUUCCAAAGUUUGAUCAAACCUCUCACCCAUUUUUUUCUGGCAAAAAUUUAUUUUAUUAACAUGUUCUUAAAAUAUUGCAAAAAAUUUCAAGGCAGUCUGCACUGGGAGUCGGGUGGUCACAGUUGAUCUGCCCGAGACUAUUUCUUUCCAGCCUAUUAUCUCUCCUCAGCUCCUGUGGAAUAGUUUCUUGCAGGCUGCCAUUCUUAUGUACCACAAUAUAACGUCACCCACCUAUCUCACCCAAAAUAGAAGCAACAGACAAAAGUGAUACCUGAUAUGCAAAUAAUUUCCUAUCAUCUACACAAAGCCAGUUCCUAAAAUUCUAGACAACAUAAAAUAAACAAAUAUUAAUACAACUUGUCCCACAAUCUCUAUUUGACUUAUGACUGAAGUGAGAAUUGGCAGAAACAUUAUUUUAAAAUCAGCUCAGCUGGUUUGUUGCUCUUUGCAUUUCCUCUGGAUUGUCGACAGGACAUGGGUCCUAUCCAAAACUAUAUUAUAAUGUGGAAAUUUAUUUCCUAUGUUGGAUCCUAACAAUCUCUCUUUUUUUCUGUCUCUAGCUUAAGUCAUAAUAUUUAAUUCUCAUUUUGUGAGUUUCUUUACUAUUUUAUCUAUGGUCCUCAUGUUCUUGGGUUCUCCUAACCACCGGGCUCGUCAAGGUGGUAUAGUUUUUAAUUGCAAGAACUCAUAGUCAUUUCUAGAGACUCUAUUGAGAUGACAGUGCUGGAAACGGAUCCCAAGGAUGGUAAAGAUUCUAAUGGCCUGAGAUGGAGUGAAUGUUGGUUGAAUUUUCUGUUUUUUCAAGAUCUCCCAAGUCUGAAGUGUUCCUGGGUUGCCAGGAAAUGACCUUAUCACCUGUAAGCUGUACUUUGUAAACUAUAGAACAGACAUUUGACUGAUUUCCCGGUAGGGAUUUGUAGGCAUUAAUUCUACAUAUGAAGUGUAAUCUUUAUUCAUUAAUGAUAUGCUUAUUAUACCUGGUUAAAUGAAACUAUGCACUCAUUUCAAUUCAGUUCAUUCACUCAGUUGUGUCCAACUCUUUGCGACCCCAUGAAUCACGGCACGCCAGGCCUCCCUGCCCAUCACCAACUCCCAGAGUUCACCCAAACU